CUACGGGAGGCAGCAGUGAGGAAUUUUGCGCAAUGGGGGAAACCCUGACGCAGCAACGCCGCGUGAGUGAUGAAGGCUUUCGGGUCGUAAAGCUCUGUCAGUAGGGAAGAAGUGCAGGGGUGCUAAUACCAUCUCUGCUUGACGGUACCUACAAUGGAAGCACCGGCUAACUCCGUGCCAGCAGCCGCGGUAAUACGGAGGGUGCAAGCGUUGUUCGGAUUUAUUGGGCGUAAAGCGCGUGUAGGCGGUUUCUUAAGUCUGAUGUGAAAGCCCUGGGCUCAACCCAGGAAGUGCAUUGGAUACUGGGAGACUUGAAUACGGGGGAGGGUAGUGGAAUUCCUAGUGUAGGAGUGAAAUCCGUAGAUAUUAGGAGGAACACCGGUGGCGAAGGCGGCUACCUGGACCGAUAUUGACGCUGAGACGCGAAAGCGUGGGGAGCAAACAGGAUUAGAUACCCUUGUAC
rnacentral:rRNA from 1 species